AGACCUACAUAGAAAAAUCAGAAAAUCUUUAAGAGGCUAACACAGAAGGGUAAACUAAGUCUCCAUAAAACCCAGAGAAGAGAUGGUAAAACUCCUCUUUGGAUCCUGUCUGGAGUCACAGCU